rnacentral:rRNA from 1 species
AAAUUGAAGAGUUUGAUCAUGGCUCAGAUUGAACGCUGGCGGCAGGCCUAACACAUGCAAGUCGAACGGUAACAGGAAGCAGCUUGCUGUUUCGCUGACGAGUGGCGGACGGGUGAGUAAUGUCUGGGAAACUGCCUGAUGGAGGGGGAUAACUACUGGAAACGGUAGCUAAUACCGCAUAACGUCGCAAGACCAAAGAGGGGGACCUUCGGGCCUCUUGCCAUCGGAUGUGCCCAGAUGGGAUUAGCUAGUAGGUGGGGUAACGGCUCACCUAGGCGACGAUCCCUAGCUGGUCUGAGAGGAUGACC